CGCCAGACUCCUACGGGAGGCAGCAGUGGGGAAUAUUGGACAAUGGGGGGAACCCUGAUCCAGCGACGCCGCGUGAGUGAAGAAGUAUUUCGGUAUGUAAAGCUCUAUCAGCAGGGAAGAAAGAAAUGACGGUACCUGACUAAGAAGCCCCGGCUAACUACGUGCCAGCAGCCGCGGUAAUACGUAGGGGGCAAGCGUUAUCCGGAUUUACUGGGUGUAAAGGGAGCGUAGACGGCGAUGCAAGUCUGAAGUGAAAGGCGGGGGCCCAACCUCCGGACUGCUUUGGAAACUGUAUGGCUGGAGUGCAGGAGAGGUAAGUGGAAUUCCUAGUGUAGCGGUGAAAUGCGUAGAUAUUAGGAGGAACACCGGCGGCGAAGGCGGCCUGCUGGACCGUGACUGACGUUGAGGCUCGAGAGCGUGGGGAGCAAACAGGAUUAGAUACCCCGGUA
rnacentral:rRNA from 1 species